GACGAACGCUGGCGGCGUGCUUAAUACAUGCAAGUCAACUGAACUUGAGAUAGCAAUAUUUUAAGGGAGGUGGCGCACGGGUGAGUAACACGUAGGCAAUCUGCCUUUAGGACGGGAACAACCACGCGAAAGCGUGGCUAAUACCCGAUUAUGCAGCGGCUCCGCAUGGAGACAGUUGUUAAACCCCGCAAGGGGCCUAUUGACGAGCCUGCGUCUGAUUAGCUAGUUGGUAGGGUAACGGCCUACCAAGGCGAUGAUCAGUAGGGGGCGUGAGAGCGUGGUCCCCCACACGGGUACUGAGACACGGACCCGACUCCUACGGGAGGCAGCAGUAAGGAAUAUUGGACAAUGGGCGGAAGCCUGAUCCAGCCAUGCCGCGUGCAGGAUGACGGCCCUCUGGGUUGUAAACUGCUUUAGAUCGGGAAGAAAGUUAUAUAUGUAUAUGUAAUUGACGGUACCGGUAGAAUAAGCACCGGCUAACUCCGUGCCAGCAGCCGCGGUAA
rnacentral:rRNA from 1 species